rnacentral:rRNA from 1 species
UCAGCUAGUUGGUGAGGUAAGAGGACUCGACCAAGGCGAAGACCGGGUAAGGCCUGGUCUCGAGAGGAAUGAUCAGCCACACUGGAACUGAGACACGGUCCAGACUCCUACGGGAGGCAGCAGUGGGGAAUAUUGCGCAAUGGGCGAAAGCCUGACGCAGCCACGCCGCGUGAGCGAUGAAGGCCUUCGGGGUCGUAAAGCUCUGUGGGGAGAGAAGAAUAAAGCCUGUGAAGAAUGGGCCUUGACGGUAUCUCCUUAGCAAGCACCGGCUAACUCCGUGCCAGCAGCCGCGGUAAUACGGAGGGUGCAAACGUUGCUCGGAAUCAUUGGGCGUAAAAGCGCACGUAGGCGGCGAAGCAAGUCGGGUGUGAAAGCCCUGGGCUUAACCCAGGAAGUGCAUUCGAAACUAUUUCGCUUGAAUCUCGGAGGGGGUCAGAGAAUUCCCGGUGUAGAGGUGAAAUUCGUAGAUAUCGGGAGGAAUACCAGUGGC